GACGAACGCUGGCGGCGUGCUUAACACAUGCAAGUCGAACGAUGACGGUGGUGCUUGCACCGCCUGAUUAGUGGCGAACGGGUGAGUAACACGUGAGUAACCUGCCCUCCACUUCGGGAUAACCUCGGGAAAUCGUGGCUAAUACCGGAUAUGAGCACUCAUCGCAUGGUGGGUGUUGGAAAGAUUUAUCGGUGGGGGAUGGACUCGCGGCCUAUCAGUUUGUUGGUGAGGUGAUGGCUCACCAAGACGAUGACGGGUAGCCGGCCUGAGAGGGCGACCGGCCACACUGGGACUGAGACACGGCCCAGACUCCUACGGGAGGCAGCAGUGGGGAAUAUUGCACAAUGGGCGAAAGCCUGAUGCAGCGACGCCGCGUGGGGGAUGACGGCCUUCGGGUUGUAAACCCCUUCCAGUAGGGAAGAAGCGAGAGUGACGGUACCUGCAGAAGAAGCGCCGGCUAACUACGUGCCAGCAGCCGCGGUAAAAC
rnacentral:rRNA from 1 species